AGGGUUUGAUCAUGGCUCAGAACGUACGCUGGCGGCACGCCUAAUACAUGCAAGUCGAACGAAGUAGCAAUACUUAGUGGCAGACGGGUGAGUAACAUGUGGGUAUCUUCCCUUUGGUGAGGAAUAACACGAGGAAACUUGUGCUAAUACCUCAUAAGUCUUUACGGAGAAAGCUUUAUGCGCCAAUGGAUGAGCCUGCACUUGAUUAGUUUGUUGGUGGGGUAAUGGCCUACCAAGACUUUGAUCAAUAGCUGAUUUGAGAGGAUGAUCAGCCACAUUGGGACUGAGACACGGCCCAAACUCCUACGGGAGGCAGCAGUAGGGAAUCUUGCACAAUGGGGGAAACCCUGAUGCAGCGAUGCCGCGUGAGUGAAGAAGGCCCUUGGGUUGUAAAGCUCUUUCGUCGGGGAAGAAAAUGACUGUACCCGAAUAAGAAGGUCCGGCUAACUUCGUGCCAGCAGCCGCGGUAAUACGAAGGGACCUAGCGUAGUUCGGAAUUACUGGGCUUAAAGAGUUCGUAGGUGGUUAAAAAAGUUGGUGGUGAAAUCCCAGAGCUUAACUCUGGAACUGCCAUCAAAACUUUUUAGCUAGAGUUUGAUAGAGGAAAGCAGAAUUUCUAGUGUAGAGGUGAAAUUCGUAGAUAUUAGAAAGAAUACCAAUUGCGAAGGCAGCUUUCUGGAUCAAUACUGACGCUGAGGAACGAAAGCAUGGGUAGCGAAGAGGAUUAGAUACCCUCGUAGUCCAUGCCGUAAACGAUGUGUGUUAGACGUUGGAAAUUUAUUUUCAGUGUCUCAGCGAAAGCAAUAAACACACCGCCUGGGGAGUACGACCGCAAGGUUAAAACUCAAAUGAAUUGACGGGGACCCGCACAAGUAGUGGAGCAUGUGGUUUAAUUCGAAGAUACGCGCAGAACCUUACCAACACUUGACAUGUUCGUCGCGACUUUAAGAGAUUAAAGUUUUCGGUUCGGCCGGACGAAACACAGGUGCUGCAUGGCUGUCGUCAGCUCGUGUCGUGAGAUGUUGGGUUAAGUCCCGCAACGAGCGCAACCCCUACUUUUAGUUGCCACCAUUUAGUUGGGCACUUUAAAAGAACUGCCAGUGAUAAGCUGGAGGAAGGUGGGGAUGACGUCAAGUCCUCAUGGCCCUUAUGUGUUGGGCUACACACGUGCUACAAUGGCACUUACAAUGGGAAGCGAAGAGGCGACUCUAAGCUAAUCCCAAAAAUGUGUCUCAGUUCGGAUUGUACUCUGUAACUCGAGUGCAUGAAGCUGGAAUUGCUAGUAAUCGCGGAUCAGCGCGCCGCGGUGAAUACGUUCCCGGGUCUUGUACACACCGCCCGUCACACCAUGGAAGUUGGUUACACCUUAAGGCAAAGCUUAUACCUUUGACUACGGUACGAUCAGCAACUGGGGUGAAGUCAUAACAAGGUAGCCGUA
rnacentral:rRNA from 1 species